rnacentral:rRNA from 1 species
GAUUGGAAGUAAAAGUCGUAACAAGGUUUCCGUAGGUGAACCUGCGGAAGGAUCAUUAUCGUACAAAAUGUGUGAGGCAUGCGAGGGCUGUCGCUGGCUUUUAACACAAAAGUCGUGCACGCCAGAGUGUGUCCUCUCACAUAAAAUCCAUCUCACCCUUUUGUGCACCACCGCGUGGGCACCCUUCGGGAUCAAACAGAUCCAGGAGGGGGGCUUGCGUUUUCACACAAACCCCUUUUUAAAAGUGUAGAAUGACCCCAUUUUUGCGAUAACACGCAAUCAAUACAACUUUCAACAACGGAUCUCUUGGCUCUCGCAUCGAUGAAGAACGCAGCGAAAUGCGAUACGUAAUGUGAAUUGCAGAAUUCAGUGAAUCAUCGAAUCUUUGAACGCACCUUGCGCUCCUUGGUAUUCCGAGGAGCAUGCCUGUUUGAGUGUCAUUAAUAUAUAUCAAACUUCUCUUGCUGAGUUGUUUGGAUGUGGGGGUUUGCUGGCCUCUUAGAAGGGGUUCAGCUCUCCUGAAAUGCAUUAGCAGAACAAACCUGUUCAUUGGUGUGAUAACUAUCUACGCUAUUGAAUGUAAAGGGCAGUUCAGCUUUCUAACAGUCCUUGGACAAAUUCAUCAUUAAUGUGACCUCAAAUCAGGUAGGACUACCCGCUGAACUUAAGCAUAUCAAAUAAGCGGAGGAAAUC